AAACGUGUUCAAAGUUUGUUUUCUUUACAGUUUGCCUUUUUGUUCAAAAGAGAAACCCUAAGUUCGAAAAUUCCCCCAAAAGCAAUCUUCCACCACCGUCGACCAUCCACGCUCCCUGUGACCGCCGUUCGGCGUCCACUGUCGACCACCGGCGCUCCUUGUAACCACCGUCCUCCUUCCGACUUCACCAAAAAUCUCCACCAAAGCCGAUUUUCCAAAUUUUCGUUCGAAAGAGAGAAGUAAGUAUGAUUUUCGUUUCGAGUUGAUUAGUUUUGAUGAUUCCUUGUUCUGUUGUUUCCGAUUAGGUGUUUUAGAUGGCUUUUAGAUUUCGAUUUCGGUCUUUGAAGUGGUUUAACAAAUUUUUCAAAAAAACCCAAAAUCAAGGGUUUCUAAAAAAAAAAAAAAAGUGGUGUGGUCUCAAUUUGUUGUUCUGUUGUUGUCGAUUAGUGGUUUUAAAUGAGUUUUUUUUAUAUAGUUUAUUUUUGUCUUGUGCAGAUUCCAUUGUCCCUAACCUCAUAUUUUGUCCGGAUACAGUUGUUAUUAAUCGUUUGAUUUAAUGUGUAAUGAAAUCAAGAUUAACUUUCAUAUGGGAGGCUUUAUGGAAUCUGUAGACGGACAUUUGAAGUAUGUUGAUGGGAUUAUGAGGCUGAAAUCAUUAGAUCUAACCCCAACACGACAACAGAAAUCAAGACUGAGACCGAUGUUAAUGGUAUCAGGACAACGAAGAUUUGCACAAAUUCAACCAGGUCUCGUACAAGCGAAUCAUCCACAGUCGAGACCCUCACAAGUGAACCCCCCACAGCCGAUACCCUCACAAAUGAAUCCCGCACAGUUGAGACCCCCACAGCCUAGACCCACACAGCGGAGACCCUCGCAAGCAAACAAGCAACCAAGAACAGAAGCAAAUUGUUCACAAACUGUAGUGACAAGUCAAGCAUCAACGUCGGCUCAAGGUACACAACCGGCAUUCAAUGCAUUCCCUUCGCAAUCGAGUCGGACCUCGCUCGCAAACGGUAUAUCUUCAACCAUCACGCAGACGUCGUCUUCUCAAAAUUAAUCAGGCGGCACAACUCCAUGAGACUUCAAACCUGAUGCUUCACCGAACUCCAAACACAGGGAGACCUUUUCGAGUGCCGAGACAAACUGAUAAAUCUGCAAAUCACUAACUUAUCUAUAUGUUUUCCACUUACUAUAUUUUUUGGAUGCAUUUGAUUUGAUGUAUGGAUAUGAUUUAUGUUGGAUGAUUUGGGAUGAAUCGGAUGUUAA